rnacentral:rRNA from 1 species
GACGAACGCUGGCGGCGUGCUUAAUACAUGCAAGUCGAACGGACAGGCCCUGCGUUUGUGGGGUGCUCGAGUGGCGAACGGGUGUGUAACACGUGAGUAACCUGCCCUUUACUUUGGGGUAACUUCAGGAAACUGCGGCUCAUACCGGAUACGAUCUCUUGCAGCCUGUUGGGGGUUGGAAAGUUUCGGUCGUUGGGGCUGGACUCGCGGCUUAUCCGCUUGUUGGUGAGGUAGUGGCUUACCAAGGCUCCGACUGGUAGCCGGCCUGAGAGGGUGACCGGCCACAAUAGGACUAAGAUACGGAGCAGACUCCUACGGGAGGCAGCAGUGGGGAAUAUUGCACAGUGGGCGGAGGCGUGAUGCAGAAACGCCGCGAGCGGGAAGACGGACUUCGAGUUGUAAACAGAUUUCGCAUGAGACGAAGCGUAAGUGACGGUAAUGGAUAAAGAAGCACCGGCUAACUACGUG